rnacentral:ncRNA from 1 species
AGAACUUUGAAGACUGAAGUGGGGAAAGGUUCCAUGUGAACAACACUUGGACAUGGGUUAGUCGAUCCUAAGAGAUGGGGAAGCCCUGUAUCAAGGGUGAACUAUGCAUGAACAUCGAAAGGGAAUUGGUUUAAUAUUCCCAAACCAGGACAUGGCGACGGACGACAACGUUAGGAAAUUCAGAGACGUCAUCGGGGGCCCCGGGAAGAGUUAUCUUUUCUUUUUAACAGCUUGCCCAACCUGAAAUCGGCUCAAUCGGAGAUAGGUUCCAGUAGAUAGAAGAGAAUUUCACAUCUUGCGCUGUCCAGUGUGCCCUCGGUGGCCCUUGAAAAUCUGGAGGACCGAGUAUCGUCCAUGCCCGGUCAUACUCAUAACCGCAUCAGGUCUCCAAGGUGAACAACCUCUGGUCAAUAGAACAAUGUAGGUAAGGGAAGCUGGCAAAAUGGAUCCGUAACUUCGGGAAAAGAAUUGGCUCUGAGGGCUGGACCUAGGGGUCUGCGUCCUCAACCCGUGGGCUGUCGACAGUCUGCCCGAGCUGCUAUCGUGGCGAGGGCGGGCAGUCGUGUCUCGAUUGGGCUACGGACGUAGAAUGUCCUCUCACGGGGGAUUUUCCCUAGGCGGCGAACAAUCGACUCAGACCUAGUAUGGACAAGGGGAAUCUGAAUGUUUAAUUGAAACAAAGAAUUGCGAUGGUCCCUGCAGAUGCUGACGCAAUGUGAUUUCUUCCCAGUGCUCUGAAUGUCAAAGUGAAGAAAUUCAACCAAGCGCGGGUAAACGGUGGGAGUAACUAUGACUCUCUUAAGGUAGCCAAAUGCCUCGUCAUCUAAUUAGUGACGUGCAUGAAUGGAUUAAUGAGAUUCCCAUUGUCCCUAUCUACUAUCUAGCGAAACCACAGCCAAGGGAACAGGCUUGGUAGAAUCAGCGGGGAAAGAAGACCCUGUUGAGCUUGACUCUAGUCCAACUUUGUGAAAUGACUUGAGAGGUGUAGAAUAAGUGGGAGCCGUUUUCGGCGCAAGUGAAAU